AGUGAACGCUGGCGGUAGGCCUAACACAUGCAAGUCGAACGGCAGCACAGUAAGAGCUUGCUCUUACGGGUGGCGAGUGGCGGACGGGUGAGGAAUACAUCGGAAUCUACUUUUUCGUGGGGGAUAACGUAGGGAAACUUACGCAAAUAACGCAUACGACCUACGGGUGAAAGCAGGGGAUCUUCGGACCUUGCGCGAUUGAAUGAGCCGAUGUCGGAUUAGCUAGUUGGCGGGGUAAAGGCCCACCAAGGCGACGAUCCGUAGCUGGUCUGAGAGGAUGAUCAGCCACACGGGAACUGAGACACGGUCCAGACUCCUACGGGAGGCAGCAGUGGGGAAUAUUGGACAAUGGGCGCAAGCCUGAUCCAGCCAUACCGCGUGGGUGAAGAAGGCCUUCGGGUUGUAAGGCCCUUUUGUUGGGAAAGAAAAGCAGCAGGUUAAUACCCCGCUGUUCUGACGGUACCCAAAGAAUAAGCACCGGCUAACUUCGUG
rnacentral:rRNA from 1 species